GAUGAACGCUGGCGGCGUGCCUAAUACAUGCAAGUCGAGCGAACGGACGAGAAGCUUGCUUUUCUGAUGUUAGCGGCGGACGGGUGAGUAACACGUGGAUAACCUACCUAUAAGACUGGGAUAACUUCGGGAAACCGGAGCUAAUACCGGAUAAUAUUUUGAACCGCAUGGUUCAAAAGUGAAAGACGGUCGUGCUGUCACUUAUAGAUGGAUCCGCGCUGCAUUAGCUAGUUGGUAAGGUAACGGCUUACCAAGGCAACGAUGCAUAGCCGACCUGAGAGGGUGAUCGGCCACACUGGAACUGAGACACGGUCCAGACUCCUACGGGAGGCAGCAGUAGGGAAUCUUCCGCAAUGGGCGAAAGCCUGACGGAGCAACGCCGCGUGAGUGAUGAAGGUCUUCGGAUCGUAAAACUCUGUUAUUAGGGAAGAACAUAUGUGUAAGUAACUGUGCACAUCUUGACGGUACCUAAUCAGAAAGCCACGGCUAACUACGUG
rnacentral:rRNA from 1 species